CGGCCUGCGCGGAAGAUGUAACGGGGCUAAACCAUGCACCGAAGCUGCGGCAGCGACACUGUGUGUUGUUGGGUAGGGGAGCGUUCUGUAAGCCUGUGAAGGUGUGUCGUGAGGCAUGCUGGAGGUAUCAGAAGUGCGAAUGCUGACAUAAGUAACGAUAAAGCGGGUGAAAAGCCCGCUCGCCGGAAGACCAAGGGUUCCUGUCCAACGUUAAUCGGGGCAGGGUGAGUCGACCCCUAAGGCGAGGCCGAAAGGCGUAGUCGAUGGGAAACGGGUUAAUAUUCCCGUACUUGGUGUUACUGCGAAGGGGGGACGGAGAAGGCUAUGUUGGCCGGGCGACGGUUGUCCCGGUUUAAGCGUGUAGGUGUGUGUUCCAGGUAAAUCCGGUUCACUUUAACACUGAGGCGUGACGACGAGGCACUACGGUGCUGAAGCAACAAAUGCCCUGCUUCCAGGAAAAGCCUCUAAGCAUCAGGUAACAUCAAAUCGUACCCCAAACCGACACAGGUGGUCAGGUAGAGAAUACCAAGGCGCUUGAGAGAACUCGGGUGAAGGAACUAGGCAAAAUGGUGCCGUAACUUCGGGAGAAGGCACGCUGACACGUAGGUGAAGUGAUUUACUCAUGGAGCUGAAGUCAGUCGAAGAUACCAGCUGGCUGCAACUGUUUAUUAAAAACACAGCACUGUGCAAACACGAAAGUGGACGUAUACGGUGUGACGCCUGCCCGGUGCCGGAAGGUUAAUUGAUGGGGUCAGCGCAAGCGAAGCUCCUGAUCGAAGCCCCGGUAAACGGCGGCCGUAACUAUAACGGUCCUAAGGUAGCGAAAUUCCUUGUCGGGUAAGUUCCGACCUGCACGAAUGGCGUAAUGAUGGCCAGGCUGUCUCCACCCGAGACUCAGUGAAAUUGAACUCGCUGUGAAGAUGCAGUGUACCCGCGGCAAGACGGAAAGACCCCGUGAACCUUUACUAUAGCUUGACACUGAACAUUGAGCCUUGAUGUGUAGGAUAGGUGGGAGGCUUUGAAGUGUGGACGCCAGUCUGCAUGGAGCCGACCUUGAAAUACCACCCUUUAAUGUUUGAUGUUCUAACGUGGACCCGUUACCCGGGUUGCGGACAGUGUCUGGUGGGUAGUUUGACUGGGGCGGUCUCCUCC
rnacentral:rRNA from 1 species